rnacentral:rRNA from 1 species
AUAGAUUUUAUUUAUUAAUUUUAUUUAUUUAUUUAAUUUAUUUAAUAAAAAUAAUUUUAAAAUUUUAAGUUUAAGUAUUUUAUAAAGAAAAAAUAAUUUUAAUUAUAGUUUAUUUGUAUUGUGAAAGAAAAUUGAAAUAAUUUGAAAAAUUUUUAUUUUAAAAGAAAAUUUAAUUUAUUGUACCUUGUGUAUCAGGGUUUAUUAAAUAAAAAAUUAUUAUAUUAAUUUUUCUCGAAUUUUAAAGAUUUAAUUAUAUAUAAAAGUUACUGUGGAAUAAUUAUUUUUAAUAUAUAAUUAGAAAUGAAAUGUUAAUCGUUUUAAAAUAUAUCUAGUUUUUUAAGAAAUAAAUUUAAUUUAGAUUUAUAAAUUUAAAUUAUUUAAUUAUUUUAAAUAAUUUAUUUUAUAAAAUUAAUAUUUUAAGGGAUUAGCUUUAAAAUAAAUUUUUAAAUUUUAAAUUAAUUAUUUAAUAAAUAUAAGCUUAAAAAUAGCUAUUAUUAAUAAAUUUGUUAUAAUUUAUUUUAAAAAUUUAAUUAUUUAAUAUAAAAUUAAAUUAUUUAUUAAAAUAUAAAUUUUAAUAAUAAAAAUUUAUAAAUUAUGAUAAAAUUAGUAUAUAAAAUUUUUAUAAAUAAUUAUUUAUGAAAGGUUUAAAUAAGGAAUUCGGCAAAAUAUAUAUUCACCUGUUUAUCAAAAACAUGUCUUUUUGAAUUAAAUUUAAAGUCUAACCUGCCCACUGAUAUAAAUUAAAGGGCCGCAGUAUCUUGACCGUGCGAAGGUAGCAUAAUCACUAGUCUUUUAAUUGGAGGCUUGUAUGAAUGGUUGAAUGAGAUAUAUACUGUCUUUUUUAAAAUUAUAUAGAAUUUUAUUUUUUAGUUAAAAAGCUAAAAUAAAAUUAAAGGACGAGAAGACCCUAUAGAUCUUUAUUUUUGUUAUUUAUAAAUUAAAAAGAAUUUUAAAAUUUAUAAUUUAAUAAAAAAUUUUAUUGGGGUGAUAUUAAAAUUUAAAAAACUUUUAAAAUUUAUUAACAUUAAUAUAUGAAUAAAUGAUCCAGUUUUAUUGAUUAAAAAUUUAAGUUACCUUAGGGAUAACAGCGUAAUUUUUUUUUAGAGUUCAUAUCGACAAAAAAGAUUGCGACCUCGAUGUUGGAUUAAGAGUUAUUUUUAGGUGUAGAAGUUUAAAGUUUAGGUCUGUUCGACCUUUGAAUUCUUACAUGAUCUGAGUUCAAACCGGCGUAAGCCAGGUUGGUUUCUAUCCUUAAUUAAUUAUUAUAUUAUAGUACGAAAGGACCUAAUAUAAAAAAUAUAGAUUUUAAUAAUAUGAUUAAUAUUAAUAUUAGAUA